CAUUUGAUAAUGUUAUAAUUGUGAAUCAGCGCUAGAUAAGUAAUAGAAACUAAAAGUAUGAUGGAGCCAUUAUUUCAUGACGAAAAAAAAAGUUGUGUUGGUGAU